rnacentral:sRNA from 1 species
UAGCCGCAUGAUGAACUUAAUAUUUUAGCUAUGGAUUUAUGUCCAGAUGGAGCUAUAUAAUUUUUGUCAUAGUUACUCUGAUAGGGC